rnacentral:rRNA from 1 species
GAUGAACGCUGGCGGCGUGCCUAAUACAUGCAAGUCGAGCGAACAGACGAGGAGCUUGCUCCUCUGACGUUAGCGGCGGACGGGUGAGUAACACGUGGAUAACCUACCUAUAAGACUGGGAUAACUUCGGGAAACCGGAGCUAAUACCGGAUAAUAUAUUGAACCGCAUGGUUCAAUAGUUAAAGACGGUUUUGCUGUCACUUAUAGAUGGAUCCGCGCCGCAUUAGCUAGUUGGUAAGGUAACGGCUUACCAAGGCAACGAUGCGUAGCCGACCUGAGAGGGUGAUCGGCCACACUGGAACUGAGACACGGUCCAGACUCCUACGGGAGGAAGCAGUAGGGAAUCUUCCGCAAUGGGCGAAAGCCUGACGGAGCAACGCCGCGUGAGUGAUGAAGGUCUUCGGAUCGUAAAACUCUGUUAUUAGGGAAGAACAAAUGUGUAAGUAACUAUGCACGUCUUGACGGUACCUAAUCAGAAAGCCACGGCUAACUACGUG